rnacentral:rRNA from 1 species
GAAACACCGCGUAAUAUGUCGUCCACCAGCCGCGCUAUAUGUAGGUGGCGAGAGUGAUCUGAGAUAUAGGGCGUAUAGAGCGCGCAGCACGGUGUCUCAUGUGUGAUGAUGAAAGCGCACGCGUCUACCAGCCGUAGAGUGUCAGUAGAAAUGUGGGACACGUGUGCAGCAGAGAAGAAGAGUAGAAUCACAUGUAGUCGCUGAAAUGUGUAGUAGAUAUGGAGGAGGCACCAGAGUCGAGGGGGCGUCUUUGGUCUGUAUAUGACACUGUGACGCGAGAGAGUGUGGAGAACACACGAUUUGAUAUCCUGGUAGUCCACACGCUAAAAGAUGAGAGUUAAAAGUGAGAGAGUGUCUCCCCCUUAGUGUGCAAAUAAAACGCUUUGCACUCUCCCCGGGGAGAGUGGUCGCAAGAGUGAAACUCUCAAGAAAAUUGAGGGGGGCGCACACGAGCGGGAGCACGUGUGUUAUUUUGAAGCAACGCGAAGAACCCCUUCACGUCUUGACACCUUCUGACACAUCUAGAGAUAGAGGGCUUCCCCUCGGGGGGCAGAGUGACAGGUGGUGCAUGGUUGUCGUCAGCUCGUGUCGUGAGAUGUUGGGUUAAGUCCCGCAACGAGCGCAACCCUUGAUCUUAGUUGCCAUCAUUUAGUUGGGCACUCUAAGGUGACUGCCGGUGACAAACCGGAGGAAGGUGGGGAUGACGUCAAAUCAUCAUGCCCCUUAUGACCUGGGCUACACACGUGCUACAAUGGAUGGUACAAAAGGGCUGCAAAGACCGCGAGGUCAAGCCAAUCCCAUAAAACCAUUCUCAGUUCGGAUUGUAGGCUGCAACUCGCCUACAUGAAGCUGGAAUCGCUAGUAAUCGCGGAUCAGCAUGCCGCGGUGAAUACGUUCCCGGGCCUUGUACACACCGCCCGUCACACCACGAGAGUUUGUAACACCCGAAGUCGGUGGGAGUAAACCGUAUAGGAGCCAGCCGCCUAAGGUUGAUUUGGGC